rnacentral:rRNA from 1 species
AUUGAACGCUGGCGGAAUGCUUUACACAUGCAAGUCGAACGGCAGCACAGGUGCUUGCACCUGGUGGCGAGUGGCGAACGGGUGAGUAAUACAUCGGAACGUACCCAGUCGUGGGGGAUAACGUAGCGAAAGUUACGCUAAUACCGCAUACGUCCUGAGGGAGAAAGCGGGGGACCGUAAGGCCUCGCGCGAUUGGAGCGGCCGAUGGCGGAUUAGCUAGUUGAUGGGGUAAAGGCCUACCAAGGCGACGAUCCGUAGCGGGUCUGAGAGGACGGCCCGCCACACUGGAACUGAGACACGGUCCAGACUCCUACGGGAGGCAGCAGUGGGGAAUUUUGGACAAUGGGCGAAAGCCUGAUCCAGCCAUUCCGCGUGAGUGAAGAAGGCCUUCGGGUUGUAAAGCUCUUUCGGCAGGGAAGAAACGGCUUGGGAUAAUACCCCGGGCUAAUGACGGUACCUGAAGAAGAAGCACCGGCUAACUACGUGCCAGCCGCCGCAGUAA